GAGCAAAGCAGAGGCGCAGAAGACAACACAGUUCCAUUUAAUGUAAUUUUAGCUCAGGUUGCCUUGUUGACAAAAAUGAUUUGCAGCCAUUUUAUGAUAGCUUCUAGGGGACUAUAGGUAAGCUCCUUCGCUAAUGGGCAGAACUUAAUUUUAUGUAUAUUGUGGCUUCCAAGGAGUAGAAUAAUGAGCCCUCUUGAGCAGCAGGCUUGAAAGUUGUGGCAUUGGGCAUCUGAAGCCAAACAAAUUGUACUUACUGGGCAACUGCAGAAGAGGGUCACCAAAAUAUUGUUGAGUUUUUGUUCCUUCCGAAGUGUAUAAAUCCAGAAGGUUCCAAACAUGCCAGCAUUUUGCAUCCUCGCCAGUAAUUCUGUUCCCAGGGGUAUUUAGGUAUUUAGAAUACCCAUUUUAAAAGCUGAUGCAUCAAACUGCUUCUUUUGCUGUAACAGUUGCCUUGCUGAUUUCAGUGUGAAAAAGCAAAUAAGGCAUUUUGAAGAAGUGUGCAUGCACACGAAAGCUCAUACCAAGAACUAACUUAGUUGGUCUUUAAGGUGCUACUGGAAGGAAUUUUUUUUUGUUUUGACUAUGGCAGACCAACACGACUACCUAUCUGUAACUAAGGCAUUUUGAGGGUGAAUCUACUGAUGGCAAUGGGAGAGGUGGCCUGGUAGAGGCCUUGGAGUGAGUAGAGGUUUUCACCAUUUUGCCAGCCAUUUUUAAGCAAAAAAGUCCAGCAAACAUUUAAGCACAAACAUAUUCACAAUUAGGAAGGAUGAGCCGUGACCAUUUUUUCCUGUACAUAAAGGGCAGAAUUUUUUUCUGCUAAUGGUAAGGCUGAAAUGACUGAGAAAAUAUUUGAAAUCUUAUGAAUCCCAACUCUCUGGCCAUUUUUACUCAUACAUAAGGGGGUGGCUGAUUGUUCCACUAAUGACCAGAGAGGGCCACACAAAAUCAUAAUAACCCACAUUUGUGAAACAUUUUGGAAUAGAGGUCUGUACCCUUCAAUCCUGUAGAUAAAGGAGGCAUGUAGCUCCCAAUUUUCUUUGCCUGGGGUACAUGUAUGAUUGUUUAAUGCAGGGAACAUGAUCCAUAAAUGCUGAGACUAUUCGAAAUUUAAUUUGACCCAGAUGGUAUUACUGGCUUUUUUGUGAAAACUUGCACAAUAGGGUUGAUAGUUGCUGGGUUUCCAACAAAUACAAAAAUCAGGAUCCUCACCAGUACUUCUGUUCCAAAGGUAAUAUAUUUUUAAACCUGCUGUAGUGAACUGCUUAUUGCCUGUAACCUCUCACUUGGUUACCUUCAACUGCAAUCGUAGCUUCUGUUAAUAAAACAUUUGAAUUAUCAGAGGUGGCACUAAUAACUAACAAGUAAUCUCUAUAUGCUCUAUCGUAAUCAUAGCAGCAAUAAAGUUGUGUGUCUUCUGGCUGAAGGUGAGUAUCUUGUGCUUGGCUGAGGGGAAAAUCUCUGUUGUGUUCUGCCUGCAACUCUUUGUACAAAGAUUCUUUCAGGUCGCAGUGAGGGGGACCAUUCAAGCACCCUGAGCCUGUUGGAGAAAAGGUAGGCUCUAAGUGGAAUCAUACAUCAAAUAUGCAAACUAAAUAUUCCAAAGAGCUUGUAUUGAGCAACAUUGGUUAUUCAAUCCCUGUUUCAGAAGAGCUGCAAACUCGAAAGCCUAAUGCAGUCACUCUGCGUGCUUCUACCUGGAGGGACUUCUCUUGUCGGGACACCACUGCAGGGGAGGCCCUUUCCUGUGCCAUCACCACACAAUAAGUUCUGUCCAAGAGCCCACCACACUCAGGGGAAGCCAGCUCUUCCUGCAGAAGUCAGACCAGCAGAAGGAACUUCCAGGCCCAUGAAUUCACACUUCAGAGGGACAAACAAAAAGAAAGGAGAAAUGGAUAUGGAAAUGACCGGCAGAAUCCGAGACCAGGGAGAAGAGUCGGUGGAAGAAGAUUGGAAGAAAUUUAAAGACUAUUUACAGAAAC